AUUGAACGCUAGCGGGAUGCUUUACACAUGCAAGUCGAACGAGUGGCGGACGGGUGAGUAAUAUAUCGGAACGUGCCCAGUAGCGGGGGAUAACUACUCGAAAGGGUGGCUAAUACCGCAUACUAUCGGAUCUGCCCAUAUCGGAUUAGCUAGUUGGUGGGGUAAAGGCUCACCUAGGCAACGAUCCGUAGCUGGUUUGAGAGGACGACCAGCCACACUGGGACUGAGACACGGCCCAGACUCCUACGGGAGGCAGCAGUGGGGAAUUUUGGACAAUGGGGGAAAGCCUGAUGCAGCCAUGCCGCGUGUAUGAGAAGGCCUUCGGGUUGUAAAGUACUUUCGGCAGAGAAGCGGUAUCUGCAGAAUAAGCACCGGCUAACUACGUGCCAGCAGCCGCGGUAAUAC
rnacentral:rRNA from 1 species